rnacentral:lncRNA from 1 species
UCUUUCAAAGGGUGCGUGGGUGGGUGGGAAGGGAGAUCUACGCACAUAAUUAUCUCUCCCUCUCUCAAUUAUCGGAUGAAACCCUAUUUUAUACACGGAUGCCCAUGUCUUGUCUGAAUAAAACUUGGGGUUUCAGGUUAACGUUCAACAGUGCCUUCGAAACAUCCUCAUUCAUCUUUUUAUUGAAGUAUUUUUUGUAGUAAAAAAACUAAGUGUUAGAAAUAGACAGUGCAAAUUAUUUAAUAUUAUGCUUGUAUGAAGCAGGAGUAGGCAUGCGGACACUGGAAUGUUAAGUGAACACAAAAUGAGGUAUUCUUGAUGUUUGCAGAUUGAUGUAAUAGUUGUAGAAAUAGAAUAGAAUAUAUUUGAAGGUUAGUAUGUAGUACUGUGGUAAAGCACCAAUUAAUAUUCAAAAUUCUUCAAGUUAAAAAAUAUCUUUUACACAAUUAUUUUCUUAUUUGUUAACCAGGUUAUUAUCUAUUGUAUUGGAUAUCAAUAAUAAAAUCAUGUUUUUACCUCCUUUUGUUAUUUGGCUCAUUGAAUUCAAAGUUUUGAUGUCGUGAUCACAUGAUGUGGAAUUUCAGAGGAGAGUACAAUUUAAUUGAUGGUUGUGUGGUCUGAAAUUGUUUGUCCUUUAAUUUUCAAUCAAAGAAUAUAAAUAUAUAUAUAUAUAUAUAUAUGUCUCUCUCUGUGUGUGUGUGUGUAGAAUUAAGGAUGAAUAUUCUGGGUCGUUUCUUUUGUGUGAUAUUCUCAUUUACAAAUCUACUUGCAUGAACAUGUUCUUAAAUUGCACCAAUUCUUCACUUUAUAAUUUGAAAACCGCAUUUAACAUAUCUUGUUUCAAAUUUUAAUAUUUGUGGAAUUGAAUAAAUUUCCUGCCAGGGAGGAAAGGGGGGUUGAGCUCAUACUAUGGUAAUUUUUUUAUUCAUCCAAAAAUGAACAACAGGCAAUUUUAACAAUUUUUAUUUUAUGUUUACUUACAAAAUUUGCAACUUAGGGUUCAAGGUCGCCCAGAUGGAUUAACCAACAAUGACAUUACAG